GAAACUAUCUGUGAAGAACAAUGGUCCCGAUCCGAUCCAUCACAAAGGCAGCAUUGGGCGUUAACUACAGCAUACAAUCACUGUGUACCCCUGGGGUUCCUGGAACCGUUUCGCCUUGGAGCACAAAACUGCACUUACACGGCGCAUGAAACCUAGGAUUUAGGUCAACCAUAACUCAUGCAGCCGAAAGAAAGUUCAUACAGAAAGGAGCAGAAAAGAUGCCAGAGCAGCGUCUCCAGGAUUGGCGCCUGCGGUGACUUUGCGAUUUAUUAAAUUGCAAAGUCACCGCAGGCGCUCGAACCCAAAUAAUACAUAAGGCUCGCCUAUUAUAAAUCAUUAAAUUGGCGAUCCGCUAAACAGAAACAAGACCAUUGCGGUACACGAAGCAAAUGCGGAAAUUGUCCACAAUUAACGUCUUCGAAGAGUUGGGAACAUUAGUUCGUCUGCCUUCGAUCUGAUGCGACAGAUGUUGGAAGGUUUCCACACGCUGCCUCCACUGCUCACCUCUCGUCAGUAACAGCUGUUACCAAGCGCGGGCAUCCG